CGGGGCGUGGCGCAGUCCGGCUAGCGCGCUUGCAUGGGGUGCAAGAGGUCCCGGGUUCAACUCCCGGCGCCCCGA
rnacentral:tRNA from 1 species